rnacentral:rRNA from 1 species
AUUGAACGCUGGCGGCAGGCCUAACACAUGCAAGUCGAGCGAGCGGCGGACGGGUGAGUAAUGUCUGGGAAACUGCCUGAUGGCGGGGGAUAACUACUGGAAACGGUCUCUAAUACCGCAUACCAUCAGAUGUGCCCAGAUGGGAUUAGCUAGUAGGUGGGGUAAUGGCUCACCUAGGCGACGAUCCCUAGCUGGUCUGCGAGGCUGACCAGACACACUGGAACGGAGACACGGUCCAGACUCCUACGGGAGGCAGCAGUGGGGAAUAUUGCACAAUGGGCGCAAGCCUGAUGCAGCCAUGCCGCGUGUAUGAAGAAGGCCUUCGGGUUGUAAAGUACUUUCAGCGAGGAGGCGUUACUCGCAGAAGAAGCACCGACUAACUCCGUGCCAGCCGCCGCGGUAAUAC